rnacentral:rRNA from 1 species
GACAGCAGUAGCCACGGUAAUACAGAGGGUGCAAGCGUUAAUCGGAUUUACUGGGCGUAAAGGGCGCGUAGGUGGUUAUUUAAGUGAGAUGUGAAAGCCCCGGGCUCAACCUGGGAAUGGCAGUGGAUACUGGCUCGCUAGAGUGUGCCAGAGGAUGGUGGAAUUCCCGGUGUAGCGGUGAAAUGCGUAGAGAUCGGGAGGAACAUCAGUGGCGAAGGCGGCCAUCUGGGACAACACUGACGCUGAGGCACGAAAGCGUGGGGAGCAAACAGGAUUAGAUACCCCCGUAGUCCCUGUCUCUUAUAC